rnacentral:rRNA from 1 species
UACGGGGGGGGCAAGCGUUGUUCGGAAUUACUGGGCGUAAAGGGCUCGUAGGCGGCCAACUAAGUCAGACGUGAAAUCCCUCAGCUUAACCGGGGAACUGCGUCUGAUACUGGAUGGCUUGAGUUCGGGAGAGGGAUGCGGAAUUCCAGGUGUAGCGGUGAAAUGCGUAGAUAUCUGGAGGAACACCGGUGGCGAAGGCGGCAUCCUGGACCGAUACUGACGCUGAGGAGCGAAAGCCAGGGGAGCAAACGGG